rnacentral:lncRNA from 1 species
UAAUUUAAUUUGAAUAUAUGUAUUCAAAUGCCACGGAAAAAAUCUAACCUCAACAACGCGAGCACCAGAGAGGCACGACGCAAACGUAUUAAAAGAGCCCAUCAGUUGGCAGAACAAAUUGAAUCAAGAAAUCCAGCUCAAAGAAUCAGGACAGCAGAAGGUCAUGCACAAGAAUCUCAAGAACAGUGUAACGAACGUCUUCAAGAGAAUAUCAUAAGAACAAGAGCAGCAGGAGAACGAGACAUAGCCACAGUAGGAGCACAGGAACAAUAAUUUCAAUUUAUACAUUCAAAUGCCACCGAAAAAAUCUAACCUCAACAACGCGAGCAGCAAAGGGUCACGACGCAAACGUGUUGAAAGAGCUCAGCAAUUACUAGAACAAAUCGAAACAAGAAAUGCAGCUCAAAGAAUCAGGACUG